CCCAGCCCCAGAGAUGCAGGGCAUCUGUGCCGUGCCAAGCUCGUGCUUGGCAGCAGGGAUGUGCUGGCAGGGAUCAUGUGGCACAGCACACCACAGGGACUGCAGUCCCAGGCAGUCAGACACCAAGCCCUGAGUGCUUUGGAGAGGUGGCUUCAUUUUGUGCUGGACUGCAAAGGUUACAGCAACCAUCGUGCAUGUGCGUGGCUCAGGAUCAGCCUCCUUCCCACAGCCAGGACCCUCUGAUGGACGCAGAACCCAGAACCAGCUCUGUGCUCCCCUCAGGGAACGUCACCACCUUGCAAAACCAGAGCUGAAGCUGGAGGUGUCUCCCUCAGUAAUUUCAUGCAGCAGAGGCUGCUCCAGAGCUGAGCCCUGUGCUGGAUUCACUGCCAGUGUCACCCAGCAGAGCAGCAGUGACAAACCCCAUCCUGCCCUGCUGGGGCUGAUGGAGCAGGGGAUGAAGGCUCUCAGUGCUGGCUGUUCCCUGCCCAGCUGCCAGCCUGUGCUCAUGGUGGGGCUGGAGGCCAUACAUGGACUCACACGGGCCAGGAGGGGCUGGGCUGGUGAUGGAGCUCCCACCCAGGCUCCCACACCCUGGAGCCAGGACAGCCCUGCAGCCCAGCCUUGCCACCAUCACCUCAUGAGUGUCCCAGCCCUGGGGUGUGGGAUCCUGGCCAAAGGGGUUCCCCAAAAUCUGUCCCUAUAGCUCCGUCCUGGUGCUGGGCUUGGUGGGCUCACCCGGCUCUACAGACGUGGGGAUGGACCCUCUGGGGCUGGGGGAGGAAUCGCUGCCUGCCCUGUGGAUGUCUGGGAUGGAAAAUCCAGGAGGGUGGAGGUGAGCCCGGGCAGGUGGGCUCCUCACAGAGCGGGGACAUGGAGCCCCUGCCUGGCCCCUGUGCUGCUGCCCCUUUUGGGAAAACCAGGGACCUCACCCUGAGGUCCCAGCAGAGCCCCAGGGCUGCAGCAAGGCCUUUUCCCAGGCCAGAUGGAGCUUUUCAAAGUCAGGGCAGUCACGGGAGCCUGCAGGCAGGCCAGGGAGCAUCUCCUCCUCCUCUGCUGGCCUGCACACCACCCCAGCUCCCCACGGCCAUCCUCCGCAGGGGCUGGGGAUUCUUCUGAAUCAAUUCUUCUCCAAGGAAAACCCACCAACCCUAAUGAAGUGAAUUAAGGGCUAUUUAAAGGGGGUACAGUUCCUUUAAAAAAUAAUACAAUCUCUAUGAGCGGAUAAACAUUGAUUUCCCAAUUACACUGUGGCUCCUCAAGCAGCCUUCGGCAAAGAGUGCGUUAAAGCUCUACCCUACAAAAAUAUCAGAACUUUACGACUCCCUCCCCAUGAACAGGCUAACCUAUAUUGAAAUAGGAGAAUUAAUGCUAGAAUGGAGUAACCAGGGUCCAUACAUGAAACCAGGAGGAAGUGAGUGAGCUAUUCCAAACGAGCUAUUCCAAGUGAACUAUUCCAAACGAGCUAUUCCAAACGAGCUAUUCCAAGUGAGUUGAGUUAUUCCAAGUGAGUUAUUCCAAGUGAGUUGAGUUAUUCCAAACAACUUUCUCCGGCCGGCAUGGCCCCGGUUCCCAGGCACAGCCCCGGCCGCUCUCCUCCCCCUCGCUUCCCCCAUCCCUCCUUCCCUCCUCUCCCCCUCUCCGCCUUAAUGACUUCCACAUGGGCCUCUGGCGGCCCGAGCCAAGCCUCCCAGCAUUGUCUGAAAUCUCCAAAUUUAGAAGAAAUAUGAAAAUUGUCAAGCGGCCCUUCCUUAGGGGGUAAAAGCAGCGCCGGGCCCCACGUGACGGCCCCCCAGCCAAUGGAUCCCCCCGGCGCCCCUGACAGCGCUG